rnacentral:lncRNA from 1 species
NGGAAGUCUUUUCCAAAGCAGUCACAUUGAUCUCCAUUUCCAAGACAUACGUCUCAUAUGGAAUGAAUGAGCUGUAGCAUUUGAUAGCAUCCUCAAGAACCAAUUUCAACUUAGGUCGCAGUCCCAAAUGUGUGUUGCCGGACCGCUCAUCAACUUGCUUGAUUUUAGCUUUCCUAGAAGAGCCUUUGCAUUGCUUACGCUUCUUGGGAGGGGGAACAGUAGUGGAGGACUUCUCCCCACCCUUUUAUUUUCACGAACCAUCACAAGGCAUUGCAGCCUACAAACCAAUCACCUCAUAUGUGAGAAAUGAUCUGGAAAUUCUCUUAAGGUCAAAGUGAAAGUCUAAGGUGACCCCACACUUAGAACCAAAGGUCCUAUAAAAAAUAUUCACAUAUGUUAUGUAACAAAUCCACAAGUGUUUCUAAAUAGAUGCAAUAAGUACUUAAGACUUCUCCACACCGCUCUAACAUAUGUCCAUAUCACACACCUUAUCAAAGCAAUUAUACGAAUAGAUCAUAAUGGGUCCAUUUAGGAAUUCAAGAGUGAGAAGUGCUGCCUACAAUUACUAAGAAGUAAUAUUUUACACUAACCUAUCUUAAAAUAUGUCAUGCAAUACAACAUACAAGAUAUAUAAAAAAAAUUUGGUAGGGCGGUUAUGGCAUUCAUACCUAACAAUCAUCGGGCGAUAUCAAUCCACCCCAAAAUACCCCACACUUAUCCCGAAACACCAUACAUAAAUGCUCGACUAUUAAGACUUCACCAACAAAUAAUUUGUCACUCAGAAAUUCAUCAAACAUGUGGUGGGCAUCAAGUGUGGUCAUCACAAUUCAACUAUAAGGUAUCAAUUUACUCUCCCAAAUUUGAAUGUGGCAGUGGGAAUUGUAACACAACUACUACAUCAACUAAAUUUUCCAUAUUCGCAUUACCCACCAUAGCAAAUCAAGUGUUAACUAGGGGAAUUCGGGGUAGGGAACCUAACGUUAGGGCAAAACAAUGGGGGAAUGGGGAAGGGAGAGAAACACAAAAACAAGUAAAUGAAAAUAAAAAACAAAAUAAAAGAGGAAAGGAACAUACAUGGAGAGAGAGAACUAAGAAAUUGAGAGAGAGAGAGGGGAGAGAGAGUGGGAAAGAAGGGUUUAGGGUUAUUGUGUUCAAUUAAAUUGGAAAGAGUAAAGGGUGGUGGGAAUGGGUUAGCUUGUGAGUGGAAAUGGCUAUACGAGUCUGGUUCAAUGAGUUAAAAGAAAAAAAAUUAAAUAAUUUUUUUUUGAAAUACUUACUUCGGAACUAGAUUUGCGCAAUGCACUGCGCUAGGAAAUCGCUUAUGGACCCGGCAUUAGGGUAGUGUAAAGCAUUGGCCUGGACGCUAGGCCGCCCUCCUUUUUUUGUCAUUUUUUUUGGUUUUGUAAUAACUUACUGUUCCGCCCGAACAUUUUGUACAUCACUUGCAUGUUCCAAUGCCACUCCUACCGACCAUUUCUACGAU